UACGAAGGGGGCUAGCGUUGCUCGGAUCACUGGGCGUAAAGCGCACGUAGGCGGAUUGUUAAGUCAGGGGUGAAAUCCUGGAGCUCAACUCCAGAACUGCCUUUGAUACUGGCGAUCUCGAGUUCGGGAGAGGUGAGUGGAACUGCGAGUGUAGAGGUGAAAUUCGUAGAUAUUCGCAAGAACACCAGUGGCGAAGGCGGCUCACUGGCCCGGUACUGACGCUGAGGCACGAAAGCGUGGGGAGCAAACAGG
rnacentral:rRNA from 1 species